rnacentral:misc_RNA from 1 species
GAAGCAGCUGGGCACACUGCGGCUUGGAACCGAUCUUAGAAACGGCGACUGGCACGGACGGGAGGAGUUCGCGGACAAGGAAGUUCCAGCAGGCAGAGAGGCACCGCGGCCACCAUGGGGAACGAGCCAGAGCUGCGCGCGCGCGCAAGAAAAUCGCUCGGCAGAAAGGACGGACAGGGAGCUCCAAGCACCGAACUGCAGCCGGAACCAGAGGCACUGCGAGCAGGUAGACCUGGGAGGGACCUCGCUGGCUGAACGAGCUGGAAGAGAGAAGCAAGGGGAGGGCGCAGGGAAAGAAGAAGCGCUCGGCGCAGGGAGCUGGGCGCCAGAGCAGGAGGCUUCAGGGUGCGGCGCAGGGACACGCGCGGUCAAGCGAACUUGAGUUGGAGCCAGGGAGCAGGAAAUCAGGGCGACGGCGCGUGCACAGAGAAGCGACCGCGCCAUGGGCGUUCGCGGGCGGACGAACUAAGAAGCUUGAGGGAGCUAGGCGAGCUGCACGGGAGGAGCACGCAGGGAGGUACGCCGGCGAGGGAGCAGGAGAGAGAAGGGAGUGGCUGCGCGCGGCGAGGAAGCUCUAGAGAACUGCCAUGGGAGCUCAGCAGAGAGGAAACACAGGGGAUGGGAGAUGCGCUGGCAUGGGAGGAAACUGGGGGUCGCGGCAUGGGUGAUCUGGAACAAGCGAGCAGAGGGGCGUGGUCCGAGCGCCGGGCGCCGGGCGGAGUCGAGGGCGUGACCCAGGGCGAGCGCCGGCUGGAAGAAGAGCAGCGCGCACUGGAAAUAACGACGGCCGGGCGGUGGGAUUUUUCUUCACACGUUGAGCG